AGAGUUUGAUCCUGGCUCAGGACGAACGCUGGCGGCGUGCUUAACACAUGCAAGUCGAGCGGUAAGGCCUCUUCGGGGGUACACGAGCGGCGAACGGGUGAGUAACACGUGGGUGACCUGCCCUCAGCUCUGGGAUAAGCCUGGGAAACUGGGUCUAAUACCGGAUAUGACCUUUCCUCGCAUGGGGUUUGGUGGAAAGUUUUUUCGGCUGGGGAUGGGCCCGCGGCCUAUCAGCUUGUUGGUGGGGUGAUGGCCUACCAAGGCGACGACGGGUAGCCGGCCUGAGAGGGCGACCGGCCACACUGGGACUGAGACACGGCCCAGACUCCUACGGGAGGCAGCAGUGGGGAAUAUUGCGCAAUGGGCGGAAGCCUGACGCAGCGACGCCGCGUGGGGGAUGACGGCCUUCGGGUUGUAAACCUCUUUCGGCCUUGACGAAGCCUUCGGGUGACGGUAGGGGUAGAAGAAGCACCGGCCAACUACGUGCCAGCAGCCGCGGUAAUACGUAGGGUGCGAGCGUUGUCCGGAAUUAUUGGGCGUAAAGAGCUCGUAGGCGGUCUGUCGCGUCGGUCGUGAAAACUUGGGGCUUAACCCUGAGCUUGCGGUCGAUACGGGCAUGACUGGAGUCCGGCAGGGGAGACUGGAAUUCCUGGUGUAGCGGUGAAAUGCGCAGAUAUCAGGAGGAACACCGGUGGCGAAGGCGGGUCUCUGGGCCGAUACUGACGCUAAGGAGCGAAAGCGUGGGGAGCGAACAGGAUUAGAUACCCUGGUAGUCG
rnacentral:rRNA from 1 species